rnacentral:misc_RNA from 1 species
GGGACCUGGGUUUCCUCCUGAUCCGAGGUCACCUUUAAAAAUUGGGGGUUUAGCGGCUGGAGCACGCCGGGACGAUCCGAACGAGGUUCGCGUUUUACCGCGUUUUACUGCGCUCAGUGUACCGACGAGCCCGCCGAUGAACUUGGGGGCCCCCUUCCCCCUCGCCACCCCCCCCCCCCCCCCCCCGCCCCCCCCCCCCCCCGCGCUCCCCCCCCCCCCCCUCCCCCCCCGCCCCACGCCCCCUCCACCCCCCUCUCCCUUGCGCCACCUCCUCCCUCCCGCUCAUCCCGCGGCGCCUCCCCGGCGAUGUCCCCCCGACGCCCCCCCCCCCCUCGCUCCCCUCUCCCCACCCAUUCACACCCCUUCUCCCCCCGCACGUCCCCGCCUUCCCCCCGCUUCCCCCCCUGCUCCCUCCUCAUCUGGAUCCCCCCCCCCCACACAAUAUACUCCCCCCGCUCGCCAACGCCCCCCUACGCCCCCUCCCUGAUCCUCGCCCGCUGCGCAUCUCCCCCGAGAUCAUUACUGAGUUGAAAAACUCCACCCCUGUGAACAUAACCUCAGUCGUUGCUUACGGCGGG